GUCCCUUUGGGGGCAUCUGAUAAAAUUGGAACGAUACAGAGAAGAUUAAUAUGACCCCUGCGUAAGGAUGAGGCGCACAAAUCAAAAAAUGGUAUAAAAAAAA